GAUGAACGCUGGCGGCGUGCCUAAUACAUGCAAGUCGAGCGAAUGGAUUAAGAGCUUGCUCUUAUGAAGUUAGCGGCGGACGGGUGAGUAACACGUGGGUAACCUGCCCAUAAGACUGGGAUAACUCCGGGAAACCGGGGCUAAUACCGGAUAACCUUUUGAACUGCAUGGUUCGAAAUUGAAAGGCGGCUUCGGCUGUCACUUAUGGAUGGAACCGCGUCGCAUUAGCUAGUUGGUGAGGUAACGGCUCACCAAGGCAACGAUGCGUAGCCGACCUGAGAGGGUGAUCGGCCACACUGGGACUGAGACACGGCCCAGACUCCUACGGGAGGCAGCAGUAGGGAAUCUUCCGCAAUGGACGAAAGUCUGACGGAGCAACGCCGCGUGAGUGAUGAAGGCUUUCGGGUCGUAAAACUCUGUUGUUAGGGAAGAACAAGUGCUAGUUGAAUAAGCUGGCACCUUGACGGUACCUAACCAGAAAGCCACGGCUAACUACGUGCCAGCCGCCGCGGUAA
rnacentral:rRNA from 1 species